rnacentral:rRNA from 1 species
UACGAAGGGGGCUAGCGUUGCUCGGAAUCACUGGGCGUAAAGCGCACGUAGGCGGAUCUUUAAGUCAGGGGUGAAAUCCUGGAGCUCAACUCCAGAACUGCCUUUGAUACUGGGGAUCUCGAGUCCGGGAGAGGUGAGUGGAACUCCGAGUGUAGAGGUGAAAUUCGUAGAUAUUAGGAAGAACACCAGUGGCGAAGGCGGCUUACUGGUCCGGUACUGACGCUGAGGUGCGAAAGCGUGGGGAGCAAACAGG